rnacentral:rRNA from 1 species
CCUACGGGAGGCAGCAGUGGGGAAUUUUGGACAAUGGGCGCAAGCCUGAUCCAGCCAUGCCGCGUGAGUGAAGAAGGCCUUCGGGUUGUAAAGCUCUUUCGGCCGGGACGAAAUCGCAUGCGUGAAUAUCGUGUGUGGAUGACGGUACCGGAAUAAGAAGCACCGGCUAACUACGUGCCAGCAGCCGCGGUAAUACGUAGGGUGCGAGCGUUAAUCGGAAUUACUGGGCGUAAAGCGUGCGCAGGCGGUUUCGUAAGCCAGAUGUGAAAUCCCCGGGCUUAACCUGGGAACUGCAUUUGGGACUGCGAGGCUAGAGUACGGCAGAGGGAGGUGGAAUUCCACGUGUAGCAGUGAAAUGCGUAGAUAUGUGGAGGAACACCGAUGGCGAAGGCAGCCUCCUGGGCUAGUACUGACGCUCAUGCACGAAAGCGUGGGGAGCAAACAGGAUUAGAUACCCUGGUAGUCCACGCCCUAAACGAUGACACUGUUGUUGGGUAUUAACAUCCUUAGUACGCAGCUAACGCGUGAGUUGCCGCGUGGGGUAGUCGGUUCGCAAGUUAUUAAAACCGUCAAAGUUAGAGUUAGACGGGCGUUGAGACGUUCGCCGACGGACGACCGACCGAGGGGAGGUUAGG